rnacentral:misc_RNA from 1 species
CAGAGUUAUCCAACUCCCAAACCCAUGUGAACUUAUCUCUUUGUUGCCUCGGCGCAAGCUACCCGGGGCGGACAAACCAAACUCUGUUAUCUUCGUUGAUUAUCUGAGUGUCUUAUUUAAUAAGUCA